UAUUUCUUACGUUGCCAGGAAAAUAUCAAAAUCUGUAGGUAUUAUAUACAAAGCGAGUUUUUUCCUGUCCAAAUCUACUUUACGUAAGUUAUAUUUUUCUCUAGUCUACCCUUACUUACAGUAUUGUAUAACUGUACGGGGUUCUACGUACCCCACUAAUCUUAAUCGUAUUAUUCUACUUCAAAAGCGUAUUAUUAGGAUACUCGAUAAACAACCAUUUGAUGCACAUACUGAUCCGCUUUUUAUUAAGUUAAAAAUUCUUAAGUUCGAUUGGAUUUAUUUGCAUCAUCUUGGAAAAUUCAUGUAUCAAUAUCACAACGGCUUACUACCUAGAAGUUUUGACAAUUUCUUCCUACCUGUGAACCAAGUUCAUAAUUAUUUCACACGGUCGACUAAUCUGUAUCAAUUAUCGUUCUGUAGGACUAAUAUUAGAAAAUUUUCUGUCUCUUAUCAAGCUCCUAAAUUUUUUAAUUCAUUAAGUGAUGACAUACGAAGUGCACCUAGUAUUACGUCAUUCUCUUCUAAAUUAAACAGUUUUCUAUUUACAUUGUGAUAUUGACGUUUGUGAGUGUUUUUAUUUUUUGUGAUUGGUUACUUUCUUUUUUUCUUUUAUUUCUUUCUCGUAUUUAAUUCUGUGUUUGGAUUUAUAUUCUGUGUGACUGACCACUGAUCUAUCAGCUUUAAUUGUGUGAAAAAGGAGCCCAAUAUAAAAUAAGCCUCUUGGUUUCAUUUUGGGCUACCUUGCCUUUAUUUCUUUAUAUUGUUAUAUAAAUAUUUUUUGUUUGUGUGCGUGUGUGUUAAUCGUAAUUAUUAUCUGUAUUCAUUUGGCAAAAUAAAUUUGAUUUGAUUUGAUUUGAGAAAUCGUCGUUUAAAAAUACGUUUUCAACGUUCAUGUUGUGCAAGCCAAAACAUAAC